UACGUAGGGUGCGAGCGUUAAUCGGAAUUACUGGGCGUAAAGUGUGCGCAGGCGGCGUCGCAAGUCGAGUGUGAAAGCCCCGGGCUUAACUUGGGAAUUGCGCUCGAAACUACGAUGCUGGAGUAUGGCAGAGGAAGGUGGAAUUCCACGUGUAGCGGUGGAAAUGACGUAGAGAUGUGGAGGAACACCGAUGGCGAAGGCAGCCUUCGUGGGCCAACUACUGGCA
rnacentral:rRNA from 1 species